AUGUUCCGGAAGUUCAUGUGCAUUCGGCGUGGAAAGACCAGCACCACAGCAACUGAGGGCACAGCUGAGCCUGACUCUGGGCUGACCGAGCUCCAGGCAGAACCUGAUGUCAGCACAGAUAUCACUGCACCCUCAGAAGACUCUGACAGUCCAAUGAAUGAUCACACGGCGAAGACUGACGGGGCAGUGACUGAGGACAUGGCCAUCACAAACACUGACACCAGAGAGACUCAGGGCAUCCCAAAUACUGACACUAUGCCCAUUCCCACUGGGAUUCAUGCUCCCAAACUGGAUUUUUUUGAAGAGAGUGCUGCUUCUCCUCAGCAGCAGGUGCCAGCCAUGGUGAGGAACAUUCACCAGAGACUCGGGUCCCAUGUCACUGUGGAUGCCUGGCUGCAAAUUGACAUUCUGAGGCUGGCUGAAGAGCACCCCGCUGAUGUGGUGCUGACCCUCCUGCGCUGUGCCCCAUCGUGCGACAGAGCUGCUACAAUGAUGUGGAGAAUCAUAGGAUCAUUGGGACCAGCAGUGGAGAAGGUGUUGCCAACGCUGCUCUGUGUGAUGCAGGAAUGGCCACUUCAUAGCAUGUCCACCUCUGAUGGGGAUGAUACAGAUGUCUUUGCCCUGGCUGUGAGUUUCUGGAACUGGCCUUUACUCACCCCGAGGUCACAUCCUCACCAGCUCUCCAUCCUUCCCCCACUGCAUCUCCUUGCCUCAGGUGCUGGGCUGAAACCUGGGCUAGGGCAGGCUCAGGGGGCACCAGGCCCGGUGCUCCCCCUGCGUCUCCCCUCGGGCCCUGCCACAUGGACAGCUCGGCACUGA
rnacentral:lncRNA from 1 species